rnacentral:tRNA from 1 species
GCCUGGGUGGCUCAGUCAGCUAAGCAUCUGACUUGGGCUCAGGUCAUGAUCUCAUGGUUCAUGGGUUCAAGUCCCCUGUCGGGCU